rnacentral:rRNA from 1 species
AUUGAACGCUGGCGGCAGGCCUAACACAUGCAAGUCGAACGAGUGGCGGACGGGUGAGUAAUGUCUGGGAAACUGCCUGAUGGAGGGGGAUAACUACUGGAAACGGUAGCUAAUACCGCAUACCAUCGGAUGUGCCCAGAUGGGAUUAGCUAGUAGGUGGGGUAAAGGCUCACCUAGGCGACGUUCCCUAGCUGGUCUGAGAGGAUGACCAGCCACACUGGAACUGAGACACGGUCCAGACUCCUACGGAAGGAAGCAGGGGGGAAUAUGGCACAAUGGGCGCAAACCUGAUGCAGCCAUGCCGCGUGUAUGAAGAAGGCCUUCGGAUUGUAAAGUACUUUCAGCGGGGAGGCGGUAAACGCAGAAGAAGCACCGGCUAACUCCGUGCCAGCAGCCGCGGUAAUUC